UACAGAGGUCUCAAGCGUUGUUCGGAUUCAUUGGCGUAAAGGGUGCGUAGGCGGCGCGGUAAGUCGGGUGUGAAAUCUCGGAGCUUAACUCCGAAACUGCAUUCGAUACUGCGUGCUUGAGGACUGGAGAGGAGACUGGAAUUUACGGUGUAGCGGUGAAAUGCGUAGAUAUCGUAAGGAAGACCAGUGGCGAAGGCGGGUCUCUGGACAGUUCCUGACGCUGAGGCACGAAGGUCAGGGAGCAAACGGG
rnacentral:rRNA from 1 species